UACGUAGGGAGCAAGCGUUGUCCGGAAUCAUUGGGCGUAAAGCGCGCGUAGGUGGCCUCAUAAGUCCGCUGUGAAAGUCAAAGGCUCAACCUUUGAAAGCCGGUGGAUACUGUGGGGCUAGAGUACGGAAGAGGCGAGUGGAAUUCCUGGUGUAGCGGUGGAAUGCGCAGAUAUCAGGAGGAACACCGGUGGCGAAGGCGGCAUUCUGGACUGUAACUGACACUGAGGAACGAAAGCCAGGGGAGCAAACGGG
rnacentral:rRNA from 1 species